GGUAAAGUGGCUGAGUAUGUAGGCAAUAGACUGUAAAUCUAGUAACGGAGAGUCCUCCCUUUACCG
rnacentral:tRNA from 1 species